GACGAACGCUGGCGGCGUGCCUAACACAUGCAAGUCGAGCGAGUGGAUUUCCUUCGGGGAAGAAGCUAGCGGCGGACGGGUGAGUAACACGUGGGCAACCUGCCUGUAAGACUGGGAUAACUCCGGGAAACCGGAGCUAAUACCGGAUACUAUGUCAAACCGCAUGGUUUGACAUUCAAAGACGGUUUCGGCUGUCACUUACAGAUGGGCCCGCGGCGCAUUAGCUAGUUGGUGAGGUAAUGGCUCACCAAGGCGACGAUGCGUAGCCGACCUGAGAGGGUGAUCGGCCACACUGGGACUGAGACACGGCCCAGACUCCUACGGGAGGCAGCAGUAGGGAAUCUUCCGCAAUGGACGAAAGUCUGACGGAGCAACGCCGCGUGAGUGAUGAAGGUUUUCGGAUCGUAAAACUCUGUUGUCAGGGAAGAACAAGUGCCGGAGUAACUGCCGGCACCUUGACGGUACCUGACCAGAAAGCCACGGCUAACUACGUG
rnacentral:rRNA from 1 species